UACGUAGGGUGCGAGCGUUGUCCGGAAUUAUUGGGCGUAAAGGGCUCGUAGGCGGUUUGUCGCGUCGGGAGUGAAAUCCACUGGCUUAACUGGUGGCUUGCUUUCGAUACGGGCAGACUGGAGGUAUGCAGGGGAGAACGGAAUUCCUGGUGUAGCGGUGAAAUGCGCAGAUAUCAGGAGGAACACCAGUGGCGAAGGCGAGUCCCUGGACAACUUCUGACGCUGAGGCACGAAAGCCAGGGGAGCAAACGGG
rnacentral:rRNA from 1 species